GUCUGCUUUUUCUUUUGGCAGUUUUUGCCCAUAACAAGGUUAAAAAUAGAGGUAGGUCUACUAGAUCAUGAUUCUCAAAGCAGUUUUCAAGUCGAAUCUCGACAAAUCGACUCUAGUGCUUGGGAUCUUUUGUGCAACAUGAUUUGCCUCGAAUACAAUGGGCACACUAGCGACAUUACUUAUCUAGGGACUAAAUAAUCUUAUAUUUGCAUGUUAUCUGUUUUGAGUGUAGUAUUCGUUUCUCCCUCUCCACGGUUAAAUGAAGCUACCUAAUUAUGAGUACGAAAACUACCAACUUUUGAGUUCGCCUAAGCGAACUGCGAUUUUGAGUAACUUUGAUUAAGUGAAAUUUGUAGAAAAAACUCAUAUGAUGGAUCAAUGCACCAUAUCUAUGUUUGAAUGAAAUGUUUUGAAUUUUCGCUGCUCGAGAGGUUAUUGUUUACCUAAUUUUGGAUGAAAAUUUUUAACCUGCCAGUGCUGUCAAGAAAGAAACAGUUGUGAAAUCAACAGUGUUUUUUUCUACGAGUGCUUAAAAUUCGGGUUUCUAGUGAAAGAAGGUUUGGAGUUGUAUUUUGUUUGCUUUGAAAUAUUCAAAAUGAAUAAAAUAUCCUCAUCGAUUAGCGAAAGACUUCCUUCCGAAAGCAAAACCACCCGCACAGAAAGUGGUAUCGCCUGCGGGGCCACUGAACCAGAGAAUGAACUACUGGUGUGCGCCAGAGUGGCACGGGCCAGAUUUUGGUUUUCCGGAAAUUUACAGCGUUGAAGGUCCCACCAAGAAAACGAACGGACACACCUCAAGAUCGAUUGUGUGAUAAGCAACUUUCGGUUGUUGGAGAGAAUAUAAACAAUGUUAUAAACAUUAUCUUUAGUGUUUUGAGUUUUAUUUGUAUUAAAAAACCAAAAUUUUCAAUUUCUGUUGCAGGAAUUCUCAAUGCUUAUAGUGAAUAGUUUGAGCUUAAUUUUGGGUAGUUUUAUCGAUCGUUGAGUAAUUUUUACCCAAUUUGUAGCUCAUACCAGAUUACUUACUUUUGGGUACUCAAUACUAUAGGAUUGAGUAAAAAGAACUUUAUUUUAGGUUGAAAUUACUUAUUUUUGUAGAAAUAUGUCAUUAGAAGCUACUUAGUUUAGGGUGAAGUUAACUCACUGAUAUGUUAAAACUACCCACUUGGCAUUACCAAUGAUCUGUAAAACAAAUUAGUUAUGGGUUGAAUUGACGAACUUAAUCGUUAAAACUACCUAUUUUGUUGAUAAUCAUGAACUUAAACAUCCCAAUAUGCGUUAAAACAAGUCAUUUUUGUAUCUGUUUUAUCUUAUAUGGUACCAAUUUUUAGGUAUAUUUCGUUAUCCAAUUAUAGAUAUGAUCAUACAACUCAGAAGUAGGUAUAGCCUCUCUACUCAAAUUUUGAGUUUGUGCGCUUUAAAAGGAUUUUGAGUGAUUUCUACUUAGGUAUAGGUUUUUCAUGGUAAGCGUGGCAGGCAAACAGUGUAAUACAGGCUUAUCUCCUCGUUUUCAAGCAGUUUUUUUUUUGUUUUUCGAGCAGUUGCAGUCAUUUUUCAAAAACAUCUGGCAUCUUUGACAUUAACCGGUUAAAAAAUUUAACUGUAGGUUACAUAUAAAUAAUUUUCUCAGUAUAUAAUAUGGGUUCACGAACGCUCAUUUUUAACGAAAACUUUUUAAAUGAUGGAGACCAGGAUGCUAAUUCGGUUUUGAUUGAACUUUUUUUUUUUUUAUAACUAAUAUUUAUUUAGGCCCAACCGCGAGGCAUAACGGGGCCGAAUGUCUUUUGGAGUAGGGAAAAGCCAGCUUGAGUAGAGCCUGUAUCCCGACUGCUCCUCCUCAAACAGGCAUAAAAACCCUCUCAUCUUUUCUUUUUUAUAAAUACAAUUUAAAAAUACAUGUCAUUUAAACCUACGACUAAAAAUAACAUUAAAUUUCUUCUCUAUGUUAAAUAUCAAUUCUUAAUACUAUUCA